rnacentral:rRNA from 1 species
CAAAAGCGUAUAUUAAAGUUGUUGCAGUUAAAAAGCUCGUAGUUGAACCUUGGGCUUGGCUGGCCGGUCCAUCUUUUUUGAUGCGUACUGGACCCAGCCGAGCCUUUCCUUCUGGCUAGCCUUUUGGCGAACCAGGACUUUUACUUUGAAAAAAUUAGAGUGUUCAAAGCAGGCCUUUGCUCGAAUAUAUUAGCAUGGAAUAAUAGAAUAGGACGUUAUGGUUCUAUUUUGUUGGUUUCUAGGACCAUCGUAAUGAUUAAUAGGGACGGUCGGGGGUAUCAGUGUUCAGUUGUCAGAGGUGAAAUUCUUGGAUUUACUGAAGACUAACUACUGCGAAAGCAUUUACCAAGGACGUUUUCAUUAA